AUGCAUCCUACGUAUGAUAAGAAGGUUCUGAGGCGCGGGGCGGUGCUGGGCCCACGGGGCGCGCAGGCCCGGGGUCUGCUGUGUGGUGCGCGGCCCAGGCAGCUCCCGCUGCGGACGCCUCAGGCAGUGUCCUUGUCGUCCAAGUCUGGUCCGUCCCGGGGCCGAAAAGUGAUGCUGUCCGUGCUGGGCAUGCUGGCGGCAGGGGGUGCAGGGCUGGCCGUGGGCCGUGAGUGCCAGCGACCUGGAGCUGCACCCCUCCCGCCCCCCCGCCCCGCCCCCCCGAGCUACCCGUGGUCUCACCGCGGCCUCCUCUCCUCCCUGGACCACACCAGCAUCCGGAGGGGCUUCCAGGUAUACAAGCAGGUGUGCUCCUCCUGCCACAGCAUGGACUACGUGGCUUACCUCCACCUGGUGGGCGUGUGCUACACUGAGGAUGAAGCUAAAGCCCUGGCCGAAGAGGUGGAGAUUCAGGACGGCCCCAAUGAUGAUGGGGAGAUGUUCAUGCGACCCAGAAAGCUGUCUGACUACUUCCCCAAACUGUACCCCAACCCUGAGGCUGCCAGAGCAGCCAACAAUGGAGCCAUGCCCCCUGACCUCAGCUACAUCGUGCGAGCUAGGCACGGUGGUGAAGACUACGUCUUCUCCCUGCUCACGGGCUACUGUGAGCCGCCCACCAGGGUGUCGCUACAAGAAGGCCUCUAUUUCAACCCCUACUUCCCUGGCCAGUCCAUUGGCAUGGCUCCUCCCAUCUACGACGAGGUCUUGGAGUUUGACGAUGGCACCCCAGCUACCAUGUCCCAGGUAGCCAAGGAUGUGUGCACCUUCCUGCGCUGGGCAUCCGAGCCAGAGCAUGACCAUCGGAAACGCAUGGGGCUCAAGAUGUUGAUGAUGAUGGGUUUGCUGUUGCCCCUGGUCUACGCCAUGAAGCGGCAUAAGUGGUCAGUACUGAAGAGCCGGAAGCUGGCAAAUCGUCCACCCAAGUGACCCUGCUGAAGGUCUGCUUGCCAUCCUGUUUGAAUGGGCCUUCAAGCCAAGAAGCUACCCUGGGUCUCUUUAGACCCCAGCUGGCCCUCUUGGCCAAGCCCCUCUUCUCUGGGACAAAAGGGGAGGGGGCAGGAGACCGGGCUGGAGCUCCAGAUCCUUCAGCCUCUAUC